rnacentral:rRNA from 1 species
UACGGGGGGAGCAAGCGUUGUUCGGAUUUACUGGGCGUAAAGGGCGCGUAGGCGGCCAGUGCAAGUCAGUUGUGAAAUCUCCGGGCUUAACUCGGAAAGGUCAACUGAUACUGCUCGGCUAGAGUGCGGAAGGGGCAACUGGAAUUCUUGGUGUAGCGGUGAAAUGCGUAGAUAUCAAGAGGAACACCUGCGGCGAAGGCGGGUUGCUGGGCCGACACUGACGCUGAUGCGCGAAAGCGUGGGGAGCAAACAGG